AAGGGGAUGUAUGGAUGAGAUCUGAAGAUCUGGGAAGAAAUUAAGGGUCCUAGUAAAGAACAAACUUGCAUGAGCAUUUGUCUAUGUAAGCAAUUGUAUGAUGGGACAGGAGGAUAACAUGAGAUAAUGAGGUUGUUUUGAUCAUAAAGGUUAUUUGUAGGGUGAAGAUGUGUCUAGUAUGCCUGCUCAGGGAAGAAGGGCCCCUUAUCUGAUUUGCAAUCUUUGAAUAAAAGAAUGAAAUAUAAAAUCACCUUAAAACUGAAGAUUUCAGGUUCAGGAGCCUUAAGAGGUCUAAGCUGAGGAUGGAUAAAAGAGGAAGAAAAAGAAGUACCAAAAGGUAUGGAGCCCACUAGAGAAGAAGCCCACGAGAAGAGGAACCCACUCUCAGAGACAAGACAGAUUCAUUUCAACUUCAACUUCUGUACUGGCUGGAGGCUUUGGAUUUGGAGAAAGCUAGAGGCUGAAGCUGGCAGAGGCAAAGAACUAGCAGUAGGAGCUCUCGAAACCAAGGAGAGAGAUAGGCCUCUAAGAAAGCUAACCAGGCCCAAGGAAAGAGACAAGACUUGGAUGGAGAAAAUAAAGGAUCUGGACUUUAACUCUUGGCUGCAUUUGAGAGAAAAUAACUCCCUACUGCAAGAAGUAUAUGAGAAGCAGAUUUGAAAGUUUGUGCUAAGGAACAAAGGUAUCUUAAAGGAGAUUCUGCUUCUAAGGGAUUAUCAUCAUCAUUAUCAUCAUCACCACCACUAUCAUCAUCAUCAUUAAGCCACUGCUUCUCAGUUUCUAUGUUGGAUUUUUCAAUAUUAUAUCUCAUGAGGAAGAAGAUGUUGUCUCUUAUUUAGACUUUUAAUCAAUGCCUUGGAAUGAUUAG